GUAUAAUCGGUAGAACAACAUCUACUACAUUGGAGCAUAAAGUGUAAUGGAUUUUGUUAUUGUCCAAGGUUCCAGAAACCGUCAGGGAACAGACGGGAUCUGCACCUUGCUAAAUUGGUGAGAUAUUUAUAAUUAUUUAUAGGCAGAGAAACCAUUUAGGACAGACAAAAAGAUGAAACAUUUUAAAUGUCUCACUGAUUCAUUUCAUUAAUGGCUUUGUGGUCACAAUGAAUUGCCCUCAUCUUUUCCAACACUUCCUCACAGACAUGGGAAGUGAAUCGGCGGCUCAAGCUGGAGGAGAUAGAGAGAGAGGUGUGCCGGGAACUACGUCUGGAGCGUUCCUCCAAGAUACCAAUCUCCCACAGAAGCGAGGUAAGGGUUUGGAAAGCUCUGAGUAAGUCUUCAAGUCAAUAUAACAAUAAUCGUAAAUUCUCUAUGUCUUUCCUUCGUCUCUUUUACAUUGCAGAUUAUGAAAACUGUGGAGUGGGUCCCACCUCCAGACUCUUAUGGACCAGGUCCACGUGACCUCACUUCCCCAUCAGGAGCAUCAAGUGACGGUUUCUACACAUCUUCUAUGACUUUUGACUCUUUUGACUCGUAAGUUGUUUUUACGAAUUGAUACACCACUAAAAGAGAUUGCCAUUUCCACAGUAGUCUUAUUUAUCAUAUUUAUUAAUAUUUAAAAAAAUAUAUAUCAUUAUUAUUACAGAUUGUUCAUGGAGACCCCAGAGGAACAACAUGUGAUGCUUUCUUCGGGGGACAGGAAAGCAAUCUUUGACAAUGUCAAGAGUCAUGUCAUCUCUGAAGUCAGGAACAACCUCCUUCCAGUUCUGAGGAAACGAUUUCAAAAGAAGGCAUCAAGCUCCUCGUCAGGAAGUGGCAGGCCCUCCAGUGAAAACUCUGACCGAAGCCGUAGCAGCUCCUCUUUCCUUUUCACUGACUCUUCUUCUAGCAACAACAACACUAUAACAAUGAUGUUCAGUCCGAGGUCAAGUGCCACCAUUUCUUCCCCUGCCUCUCUUUAUGACAAAGAAAGUGGGAGUUAUGAAUCAUACGUAGGACUGACUUUUUACACGGAAGUUCCUUUUUCAGAGGAGCUUUGUAAUGAGACUUCAGUUAAGAGAUCAGUCACUCCCUCCAGUGCAGUAAAUGCCCAGGAGAGCCCAAUAACCAUAACACCUUCGUCUGAAGCUUUCAGAGCUGAAAGCUUUGUUUUGGAGAUAAUACAUGAUUCGAUCGCUUUCUCUGAAACAUCUCAGAAUGAUAUUAACAACUGUGACACUCUUGCUGGAUUCACCAUCAUGUCCAACGAUGUUGUGGACACAACCCUGGACGGCGCAACAGUAGUGUUAGAUAGAGAAGGACUACUCUCUCAGGAUAGAAGCUCCAAUGAAGAGUUUGAUGAUCGCCUUCUGUCUAUCGGACCGUGUAUUACUACUGAUGACCAUGGCACUGAGAUCAAACUUUUGGGUGGCAAGCCAACGGAUGAAGGUAUCAAUAACAUACUUGAUGAAGAGAAAGAUGUAGAACUGUACACAGGGCAGAUAAUUGAGGCUGUCACACAGGACUUACUAACAAGUGAGACUUCUUCCAGUACAUCAAAGGAGAGGGUGUUUUCUGAAUGUGACGCUAAAUUUACAUGCAAAGAAACUGCUUCAGGAACGCACCUAGAUUGUGCUCAUCCAAGGAAAUCAGUGAAUCGUAUCUUGCAGGAUAAUAAACUGCAUAGUGUUAACAAACCUAGGGAACUAUUACCCAGAAACACUCCACAACUGGCUCAUUCUGUUGCUUCCGUCUUGUAUCACAACAUAUUUGACAGUGAAUCCUCCAGACAAUCCACACAUUACUCCAGCUCUCAGAUCAGCUGUGAUGUUAGUUUGUGUGAGACCACCACGGAACAGGAACUGAAAGAAUUUACACAGCCCUUGUCAGGGUCUGCUGUUAAUCUCCUCAAAGACUUGUUUGGAGAGAAAGCCCAGAGUCUGAAAACGACUAAGGACCCAAUCCAGCUCAUCACAAACCCAACUUCGGAGACACUCUUCUUUAUGCCCCACGUCAACAAUAAAGACACAGUUGUGCACAAAAUAGCCAUUGAAGACCUGUGUGCAAUGGAUGCCAUGAAGAAUAUGAUUCCUCCUAACAACUCAAAGAGGGUUAAGACCCCAUCCGCCCCUAGGACCAAAAGUGAGAGAUUCUCUCAGCCCUCAAGUCCAACUCAUAACCUCUUACAGGCAGUUGUAGAAAAACUGGUCAAUAAAAUGACUGUUCACAGUCUCAGCAUCCCAGAGGCUUCCAAUGAGGCUGCCUGCAAACAGUUAUCAUGUUGUUCUCCAAAUGGACCUCUUUCAGAGUUUCAGCAUCAACUGAUUUCUAGGCUCUGCCCUGUGCUUGUGUCUGACAUUAUGGAAUCGCUUUCCAGUGAAAUCGUCAGCCCUGAUGGUAAGAUUUUGUUUUGUUUUUUUUAUUCAGUUUUCAGUUGUUUUGUUGUUUAACCUUUACAUAGCUAUAUUUACUUAACUAUAAUUAUAUUACAUAAUUCUAACUGGCUGAUUUAUUUGUUUUUGCAUGAAUUUAAACGUAAUCUUGUAUUUGCAUCAGAUUUAGGUGAAUCAGCUUGCCAAUCACCUGUGCAAGUUAUCGAAGAUGGAAUGGUAAGGUCUGGAAGCGCAAGUGUCGACGUCUCAAAUCAUUGUGUUCAAGAGGACACCUGUGUCCAAGAGGGCAACGGUAUAGCCAGUGAGAGAGUGACAGAUGAAUCUGUUGAUAUUCUGGAAAGGGCUGUGUAUGACAUUGAGUCUGCGAUGACUGAUGCUGCAAAACAGUCUUGCUCUAGCCUUCCAUCCAAAACAGAUGUUGUCGUAGACGUCAUCACUAAGCUGAUCUCUGAUAUUGAGUCUGGCAGUAACUCACCGACACAUCUCACGAACAUGGCAGUUGACAUGGUGGUAUCUGUGUUGGAUGAUCUAUCAGAGGAUACUAAAAUGAUUUCAAUUCCAGCAUCUCCUGACCACUUUCAUUCUCAAGUGAAAUACACCAGGCCCCCCAGUUGUAGGAUCGUAAGCAGUGUUCGCAAGGAGCUUGAGGAACAGAUUGGUUCCGCUGAUUCCCUCAAGCGAGCUCUAAACUCUGAAAGCACAGAAGUCACCAAGGCUAUCUCGAGUGCCGUUGCAAGGGAAGUCUCUACACUCCUUUCAGAAUCAGUAGCUCGUCACAUAGCCUCCACUUCCAGCUCUGACUCUCUGUUAAGCGCACCUGCUACGACCUUUGCACCUGCCGUGCGACCACUAACUGCUGUCAUCAGACCUGACGUCCCUACCGACCCUGACUGUUUGGCUAAUCCCUACCAUAGAUGUGCAUCUUCCAUAGAUACCAAGCCUUUAAUGAUGAUGGUGCACCUUGGGACAGUCAAGGAUAUUGUCAGCAGACUCCUGUUACACCUGUUACCGAUGGGUUUAAAGGACUUUAACCUGGCUGACUGCAGCCUCUUUGACA
rnacentral:lncRNA from 1 species